rnacentral:rRNA from 1 species
GCGGAAGGCAGCAGUGGGGAAUAUUGGGCAAUGGGCGAAAGCCUGACCCAGCAACGCCGCGUGAAGGAAGAAGGUCUUCGGAUUGUAAACUUCUUUUAUGUGGAACGAACAAAUGACGGUACCACAUGAAUAAGCCACGGCUAACUACGUGCCAGCAGCCGCGGUAAUACGUAGGUGGCAAGCGUUAUCCGGAUUUACUGGGUGUAAAGGGCGUGUAGGCGGAGCUGCAAGUCAGAUGUGAAAUCCCGGGGCUCAACCCCGGAACUGCAUUUGAAACUGUAGCCCUUGAGUAUCGGAGAGGCAAGCGGAAUUCCUAGUGUAGCGGUGAAAUGCGUAGAUAUUAGGAGGAACACCAGUGGCGAAGGCGGCUUGCUGGACGACAACUGACGCCGAGGCGCGAAAGCGUGGGGAGCAAACAGGAUUAGAUACCCUGGUA